UUCCUGUAUAUAGGUGUGAAUUAGCUG
rnacentral:piRNA from 1 species